GGGCGGUUAGCUCAGCGGUAGAGCACUACCUUGACAUGGUAGGGGUCACAAGUUCGAUCCUUGUACCGCCCA
rfam:Rhodanobacter sp. OK091 genome assembly, contig: Ga0115501_103